rnacentral:rRNA from 4 species
GUAGGUGAACCUGCGGAAGG